rnacentral:rRNA from 1 species
GAUGAACGCUGGCGGCGUGCCUAAUACAUGCAAGUCGAGCGAACAGACGAGGAGCUUGCUCCUCUGACGUUAGCGGCGGACGGGUGAGUAACACGUGGAUAACCUACCUAUAAGACUGGGAUAACUUCGGGAAACCGGAGCUAAUACCGGAUAAUAUAUUGAACCGCAUGGUUCAAUAGUGAAAGACGGUUUUGCUGUCACUUAUAGAUGGAUCCGCGCCGCAUUAGCUAGUUGGUAAGGUAACGGCUUACCAAGGCAACGAUGCGUAGCCGACCUGAGAGGGUGAUCGGCAACACUGGAACUGAGACACGGUCCAGACUCCUACGGGAGGCAGCAGUAGGGAAUCUUCCGCAAUGGGCGAAAGCCUGACGGAGCAACGCCGCGUGAGUGAUGAAGGUCUUCGGAUCGUAAAACUCUGUUAUUAGGGAAGAACAAAUGUGUAAGUAACUAUGCACGUCUGGACGGUACCUAAGCAGAAAGCCACGGCUAACUACGG